AGUGAACGCUGGCGGUAGGCCUAACACAUGCAAGUCGAACGGCAGCACAGUAAGAGCUUGCUCUUACGGGUGGCGAGUGGCGGACGGGUGAGGAAUACAUCGGAAUCUACUUUUUCGUGGGGGAUAACGUAGGGAAACUUACGCUAAUACCGCAUACGACCUACGGGUGAAAGCAGUGGAUCUUCGGACCUUGCGCGAUUGAAUGAGCCGAUGUCGGAUUAGCUAGUUGGCGGGGUAAAGGCCCACCAAGGCGACGAUCCGUAGCUGGUCUGAGAGGAUGAUCAGCCACACUGGAACUGAGACACGGUCCAGACUCCUACGGGAGGCAGCAGUGGGGAAUAUUGGACAAUGGGCGAAAGCCUGAUCCAGCCAUACCGCGUGGGUGAAGAAGGCCUUCGGGUUGUAAAGCCCUUUUGUUGGGAAAGAAAAGCAGCAGGUUAAUACCCCGCUGUUCUGACGGUACCCAAAGAAUAAGCACCGGCUAACCUCGUG
rnacentral:rRNA from 1 species